rnacentral:rRNA from 1 species
UAAUACGAAGGGGGCUAGCGUUGUUCGGAUUUACUGGGCGUAAAGCGCACGUAGGCGGAUUGUUAAGUUAGGGGUGAAAUCCUGGAGCUCAACUCCAGAACUGCCUCUAAUACUGGCAAUCUAGAGUCCGGAAGAGGUGAGUGGAACUCCUAGUGUAGAGGUGGAAUUCGUAGAUAUUAGGAAGAACACCAGUGGCGAAGGCGGCUCACUGGUCCGGUACUGACGCUGAGGUGCGAAAGCGUGGGGAGCAAACAGG